rnacentral:rRNA from 1 species
UACGUAGGUGGCAAGCGUUGUCCGGAAUUAUUGGGCGUAAAGCGCGCGCAGGCGGUUCUUUUAAGUCUGAUGUGAAAGCCCACGGCUCAACCGUGGAGGGUCAUUGGAAACUGGAGAACUUGAGUACAGAAGAGGAAAGCGGAAUUCCACGUGUAGCGGUGAAAUGCGUAGAGAUGUGGAGGAACACCAGUGGCGAAGGCAGCAUCCUGGGAAGCACCUGACGCUCAGAUGCGAAAGCCAGGGGAGCGAACGGG